CCUUUCGUCACGGUCUCUGCCGGCGUCCGUCAUGUGACCCGGUCCGGGAUGAAGGGAGGAAGGCAGAAAUCACAGUGUGAAGCUGGACGUGUUGACAUCAGUGCGCUCGGUGCGGGCCCAGAGGAUGACACAAAAAACUACUGAGCUGAUUCCUGCUGGAAGGAUGUGACGAGGACAGAAGACUGGAUUGAAUUCAAGACGACUGAACCUCGAUGGAGUAUUGAACCUCCACCUCGUGCGUGAGCUGCAGCCACUUCUGAAGAGCUUCUGGCACCGAGCGUUCAGACUGCAUCUCCUUCUCCGCUCUCUUCAGGGCCUUCCGCACCUUCAGGGGGGAACACAGAGCACGUCGGGGUGCAGAGGUUUGAGUCAAGUUCUGUGUUGAAUAUUUAAAAACCUUUUCCCAUGAGAUUAUUAAUCAUAAACAGCAACAGAGAGGGAUUAGUAACUCUGUGAAUCUAAAGUCUUGUGAAUGUCCAAUAAUCUAUUUUGUGAAAGAA